rnacentral:rRNA from 1 species
ACUGGGACUGAGACACGGCCCAGACUCCUACGGGAGGCAGCAGUGGGGAAUUUUCCGCAAUGGGCGCAAGCCUGACGGAGCAAUACCGCGUGAGGGAGGAAGGCCUUUGGGUUGUAAACCUCUUUUCUUAAGGAAGAAGAUCUGACGGUACUUAAGGAAUCAGCAUCGGCUAACUCCGUGCCAGCAGCCGCGGUAAUACGGAGGAUGCAAGCGUUAUCCGGAAUUAUUGGGCGUAAAGCGUCCGCAGGCGGCAUUAUAAGCCUGCUGUCAAAGACCGCAGCUCAACUGCGGAAAGGCAGUGGAAACUGUAAAGCUAGAGUACGGUAGGGGUAGAGGGAAUUCCCAGUGUAGCGGUGAAAUGCGUAGAUAUUGGGAAGAACACCAGUGGCGAAAGCGCUCUACUGGGCCGUAACUGACGCUCAGGGACGAAAGCUAGGGGAGCGAAAGGGAUUAGAUACCCCUGUAGUCCUAGCUGUAAACGAUGGAUACUAGGCGUAGCUUGUAUCGACCCGAGCUGUGCCGAAGCUAACGCGUUAAGUAUCCCGCCUGGGGAUUACGCACGCAAGUGUGAAACUCAACGGAAUUGACGGGGGCCCGCACAAGCGGUGGAGUAUGUGGUUUAAUUCGA